rnacentral:rRNA from 1 species
UACGUAGGGUGCGAGCGUUGUCCGGAAUUAUUGGGCGUAAAGAGCUCGUAGGCGGUCUGUCGCGUCUGCUGUGAAAACCCGAGGCUCAACCUCGGGCCUGCAGUGGGUACGGGCAGACUAGAGUGCGGUAGGGGAGAAUGGAAUUCCUGGUGUAGCGGUGAAAUGCGCAGAUAUCAGGAGGAACACCGAUGGCGAAGGCAGGUCUCUGGGCUGUAACUGACGCUGAGGAGCGAAAGCAUGGGGAGCGAACAGG